GUGUCAGCCGCCGCGGUAAUACGGAGGGUGCAAGCGUUAUUCGGAUUUACUGGGCGUAAAGGGCGCGUAGGCGGCUUGAUAAGUCAGUCGUGAAAGCCCGGGGCUCAACCCCGGAAGUGCGAUUGAAACUAUCAGGCUUGAGUAUGGUAGAGGGAAGUGGAAUUCCAGGUGUAGCGGUGAAAUGCGUAGAUAUCUGGAGGAACACCGGUGGCGAAGGCGACUUCCUGGACCAAUACUGACGCUGAUGCGCGAAGGUGUGGGUAGCAAACAGGAUUAGAUACCCCAGUAGUCC
rnacentral:rRNA from 1 species